rnacentral:rRNA from 1 species
UACCUGCAGCUCGAGUGGUAACCGCUAUUAUUGGGCCUAAAGCGUCCGUGGCCGGUUUGGUAAAUAUCUGGGUAAAUCGCGAGGCUUAACUUCACGAAUUUCGGAUAGACUGCCAGACUUGGGAUCGGGGGAGGUCAGAGGUACUCCAGGGGUAGCGGUGAAAUGUUGUAAUCCUUGGAGGACCACCGGUAGUGAAGGCGUCUGACUAGAACGAGUCCGACGGUGAGGGACGAAGCCCUGGGGCGCAAACCGGAUUAGAUACCCGGGUAGUCCAGGGUGUAAACGAUGUGGGCUUUGUAUUGGAGGUCCCACGUGGGUCGUCCAGUGCAGAAGAGAAGUUGUUAAGCCCACCGCCUGGGAAGUACGGUCGCAAGGCUGAAACUUAAAGGAAUUGGCGGGGGAGCACAGCAACGGGAGGAGCGUGCGGUUU